UCUCUCUGAAUCUGCGAACGGCUCCGCAAACCAGUUGUAAACUAUAGCAAGCAAUCCUCGGCUGGGCCUCGGCCCGGUCGGGGUAACAUGGAUAACCCUGGUAAUUCUGAGGCUAAUACAAGAACGUAAUCCCUGGCUGACCGGCAACGGAAGGCUGGGGGACGUGCAAUGAUUUUCGUAAGAUUAACCGGGAAAGGGUGCACGUUCGGACCGCGCUAAAAACGAAUCUCGGUGAGCCCUCACGGGUGAGCCUUGGCUCGAGCGGCUCUUGCGAUGUGCUUCUGACCUAUCAACUAGAUGGCAGCGUAAGGGACAUGCUAUGGUUACAACGGGUACAGAGGAUUAGGGUUCGAUCCUGGAGAGUGGGCCUGAGAGAUU
rnacentral:rRNA from 1 species